GCCUGGGUGGCGGAAUAGGUAGACGCAAGGGACUUAAAAUCCCUCGGUGCUUGUCACCGUGCCGGUUCGAUUCCGGCCCUAGGCACCA
rnacentral:tRNA from 1 species